rnacentral:lncRNA from 1 species
GAUAAAGUUGUGUCUGAAACCUUUAAAAUCCAGGUUGUGCCUUCCCUCGCUCACCUCCCACCGCAAAAGUGCUCGUCUUUCUUAUUUUUU